CUCAGUCUCGCUGCAUUCCAUAUGCAGAUGCAUAUAUGCAUGUGCGCACACGAGCCCCAUACAUAUGUACAUGUACGUCCAUACUAUCAUAAUUGUGCUAGGUGGCAUCACCAGUGAUGGCGUUCGAUCCUUGAAAUGUACAUGAUGUGAUAAGAGUAAGCGUCACUAGAGAAUGGGAAUUCCAAGGCGCAACAAAUGAUGGUCCUCUCCAUCAUGUCAACAUGAUCAUAUCCGAUGAACCGGUGAUCUAUAUCCACUCAAAUACAUUUAUG